CAAUAAGCGGAGGAAAAGAAACUAACAAGGAUUCCCCUAGUAACUGCGAGUGAAGCGGGAAAAGCUCAAAUUUAAAAUCUGGCGGUCUCCGGCCGUCCGAGUUGUAAUCUAGAGAAGUGUUAUCCGCGCUGGACCGUGUACAAGUCUCCUGGAAUGGAGCGUCAUAGAGGGUGAGAAUCCCGUCUUUGACACGGACUGCCAGGGCUUUGUGAUGCGCUCUCAAAGAGUCGAGUUGUUUGGGAAUGCAGCUCAAAAUGGGUGGUAAAUUCCAUCUAAAGCUAAAUAUUGGCGAGAGACCGAUAGCGAACAAGUACCGUGAGGGAAAGAUGAAAAGAACUUUGGAAAGAGAGUUAAACAGUACGUGAAAUUGCUGAAAGGGAAACGCUUGAAGUCAGUCGCGUUGGCCGGGGAUCAACCUUGCUUUUGCUGGGCGUACUUUCCGGUCGACGGGUCAGCAUCAAUUUUGACCGUUGGAUAAAGUUCAGGGGAAUGUGGCAUCUUCGGAUGUGUUAUAGCCCUUGGUCGCAUACAACGAUUGGGAUUGAGGAACUCAGCACGCCGCAAGGCCGGGUACUUGUACCACGUUCGUGCUUAGGAUGCUGGCAUAAUGGCUUUAAUCGACCCGUCUUGAAACACGGACCAAGGAGUCUAACAUGCCUGCGAGUGUUUGGGUGGAAAACCCGGGCGCGUAAUGAAAGUGAAAGUUGAGAUCCCUGUCGCGGGGAGCAUCGACGCCCGGACCAGACCUUUUGUGACGGAUCCGCGGUAGAGCAUGUAUGUUGGGACCCGAAAGAUGGUGAACUAUGCCUGAAUAGGGUGAAGCCAGAGGAAACUCUGGUGGAGGCUCGUAGCGAUUCUGACGUGCAAAUCGAUCGUCAAAUUUGGGUAUAGGGGCGAAAGACUAAUCGAACCAUCUAGUAGCUGGUUCCUGC
rnacentral:ncRNA from 7 species